AUGCCCGGUACACGAAGCAGAGCGGGACGGCGACCGACAGGCUCACCGACGAUCUCCUCGUCGAGAUCCUCUCGCGCGUCCCCGCCAAGUCGCUCUUCCGCUUCAGGUGCGUCUCCAGCCACUGGCUGGCCCUCAUCGACCACCCCUACCACCGCAAAAGGCUCCCCCAAACCCCGGCCGGCUUCUUCUACGACAACAAGUACACCGUCGAGUGGUUUCUGCAACCACCUCUCCACUUCACCAGUUUCCCGGGGAAACGGUGCCCUCCGAUCGACACCUCUUGCUCCUUCCUGCCCAACCAUGAGCGCAUCCAUCUGUUGGACUGCUGCAACGGCCUCCUCCUCUGCCGCUGGUGCGACGCCUCCGCCGAGGGUGAAGAGUCCCGUUACGUCGUGUGCAAUCCCGCCACGGAGAAGUGGGUGGUGUUGCCGAGCUCCGGCAAGGCCACCAGCGAGGUGGCCACCGCUCGUUUGGGCUUCGACCCAGCCCUGUCGCCGCAUUUCCAUGUGUUUGAGUUGGUAG
rnacentral:rRNA from 1 species